rnacentral:rRNA from 1 species
UACGAGGGGGCAAGCGUUGUUCGGAAUUACUGGGCGUAAAGCGUGCGUAGGUGGUUUGUUAAGUCUGCUGUGAAAUCCCCGGGCUCAACCUGGGAAUGGCAUUGGAAACUGGCGAACUAGAGUGUGGCAGAGGGGGGUGGAAUUCCGCGUGUAGCAGUGAAAUGCGUAGAGAUGCGGAGGAACACCGAUGGCGAAGGCAGCCCCCUGGGCUAACACUGACGCUCAGGCACGAAAGCGUGGGGAGCAAACAGG